GAUGAACGCUGGCGGCGUGCCUAACACAUGCAAGUCGAACGAAGCUCUGCGAACGGAGGUUUCGGCCAAAGGGAGCGGAUGACUGAGUGGCGGACGGGUGAGUAACGCGUGGGCAACCUGCCCUUAUCUGGGGGAUAGCAGACGGAAACGACUGAUAAUACCGCAUAAGCGCACGGGGAGGCAUCUCCUUGGGCGAAAAGAUUUAUCGGAUAAGGAUGGACCUGCGUCUGAUUAGCUUGUUGGUGAGGUAAAGGCUCACCAAGGCGACGAUCAGUAGCCGGACUGAGAGGUCGAUCGGCCACAUUGGGACUGAGAGACGGCCCAAACUCC
rnacentral:rRNA from 1 species